UGAUUUGAAAGGCGCUUUCGGGUGUCGCUGAUGGAUGGACCCGCGGUGCAUUAGCUAGUUGGUGAGGUAACGGCUCACCAAGGCCACGAUGCAUAGCCGACCUGAGAGGGUGAUCGGCCACAUUGGGACUGAGACACGGCCCAAACUCCUACGGGAGGCAGCAGUAGGGAAUCUUCGGCAAUGGACGAAAGUCUGACCGAGCAACGCCGCGUGAGUGAAGAAGGUUUUCGGAUCGUAAAACUCUGUUGUUAGAGAAGAACAAGGAUGAGAGUAACUGUUCAUCCCUUGACGGUAUCUAACCAGAAAGCCACGGCUAACUACGUGCCAGCAGCCGCGGUAAUACGUAGGUGGCAAGCGUUGUCCGGAUUUAUUGGGCGUAAAGCGAGCGCAGGCGGUUUCUUAAGUCUGAUGUGAAAGCCCCCGGCUCAACCGGGGAGGGUCAUUGGAAACUGGGAGACUUGAGUGCAGAAGAGGAGAGUGGAAUUCCAUGUGUAGCGGUGAAAUGCGUAGAUAUAUGGAGG
rnacentral:rRNA from 1 species